GGCAGGGUAGCUCAGCUGGUUUAGAGCGCGCGAUUCAUAAUCGCGAGGUCGGGAGUUCAAGUCUCCCUCCUGCUA
rnacentral:tRNA from 1 species